rnacentral:rRNA from 1 species
GUCGAGCGAACAGACGAGGAGCUUGCUCCUUUGACGUUAGCGGCGGACGGGUGAGUAACACGUAGUAACCUACCUAUAAGACUGGGAUAACUUCGGGAAACCGGAGCUAAUACCGGAUAAUAUUUCGAACCGCAUGGUUCGAUAGUGAAAGAUGGCUUUGCUAUCACUUAUAGAUGGACCUGCGCCGUAUUAGCUAGUUGGUAAGGUAACGGCUUACCAAGGCAACGAUACGUAGCCGACCUGAGAGGGUGAUCGGCCACACUGGAACUGAGACACGGUCCAGACUCCUACGGGAGGCAGCAGUAGGGAAUCUUCCGCAAUGGGCGAAAGCCUGACGGAGCAACGCCGCGUGAGUGAUGAAGGUCUUCGGAUCGUAAAACUCUGUUAUUAGGGAAGAACAAACGUGUAAGUAACUGUGCACGUCUUGACGGUACCUAAUCAGAAAGCCACGGCUAACUACGUGCCAGCAGCCGCGGUAAUACGUAGGUGGCAAGCGUUAUCCGGAAUUAUUGGGCGUAAAGCGCGCGUAGGCGGUUUUUUAAGUCUGAUGUGAAAGCCCACGGCUCAACCGUGGAGGGUCAUUGGAAACUGGAAAACUUGAGUGCAGAAGAGGAAAGUGGAAUUCCAUGUGUAGCGGUGAAAUGCGCAGAGAUAUGGAGGAACACCAGUGGCGAAGGCGACUUUCUGGUCUGUAACUGACGCUGAUGUGCGAAAGCGUGGGGAUCAAACAGGAUUAGAUACCCUGGUAGUCCACGCCGUAAACGAUGAGUGCUAAGUGUUAGGGGGUUUCCGCCCCUUAGUGCUGCAGCUAACGCAUUAAGCACUCCGCCUGGGGAGUACGACCGCAAGGUUGAAACUCAAAGGAAUUGACGGGG